UACCAGAUUUACCCACAAAAAACCCUAAAAGAAUGAAAACUUUAGGGUUUUCUUAUAGAAGAUGAUGUGAUGAUGAUUAAUAAAACUAGGGUUUAGAUGAUUUUUGUGUGAUAGUAGUUGUAGUUGUACGAUUUUUUAUGUAGAUGAUGAUGAUGACAAUCAGAUCUGUGGUGACAGCUUGGAUUGCGGCGACGACUUUAUUGCGGUCAAUUUUACUGCGGCGGCGACUUGUAUGGUGGCAGCGAAGGCGACGGUGGUGUCACUGUCGUGUUUCAGAUAUGACCGGAAAAUGGCUCAGAUCUAGCUGGCUCAGAUCUGUGGAUUUGAGUUGUUUUUUUGUAUUUUUUGAGUGUUUUUGCUAAUAGCGUAUUUGGCUGAAUAUAUGAACAGUGUAUUUGGCUGAAUAUAUGAACAUAUGUAUUUGGUUGAAUAUAUGAACAGUGUUUUCAAAUACACGGAAAUUUAAAUGUAUUUGGCUUCAUAUGUAAUUUGACUGUACACAAUGUAUUUGACAUUUUGUUGAAAUCCAUUCAAAUACAUUGAAUAUAUGAACAGUGUUUUCAAAUA